ensembl:snRNA U6 U6 spliceosomal RNA
GUGCUCUCUUCAAUAGCACAUAUACUAAAUUGGAACAAUACAGAGAAGUUCAUGGUCCCUGUGUAAGUAUGAUAUGCAUAUCAGUGAAGCAUUACAUAUUUUU